rnacentral:rRNA from 1 species
UACAGGGGGUGCAAACGUUGCUCGGAAUUAUUGGGCGUAAAGCGCGCGUAGGCGGCUAUUUAAGUCGGAUGUGAAAGCCCUUGGCUCAACUGAGGAAGUGCACCCGAAACUGAAUGGCUUGAGUACCAAAGAGGGUCGCGGAAUUCCCGGUGUAGAGGUGAAAUUCGUAGAUAUUCGGAAGAACACCAGUGGCGAAGGCGGCUCACUGGACGCGUAUUGACGCUGAGGUACGAAAGCGUGGGGAGCAAACAGG